UCUGCUAUGAGCGAGAGAUGGAGAGGAGGAGCGCUAAAGUAAAACUCUGCCCUCUGUUCAAUAUUCUGUUUCACUUGGAAAUGCGUCACAGCACUGGAGAAAAGUCGUUUGCAACUUUCGGUUCACGCAGACUUUAAAUGAUUACACUGUUUAAAUUAAUAAAUUGUUAGCUAACUGCAUGAUUUGUAUAAUGUACAUUCCUAAAAUUACAUAACUUGCACAGAGUCACCUUGAAAGCUGCUUUUAAAUGAUAUGUAUUGUGAAAAGCGCUACAAAUAAAUGUGAAUUGAAUUGAAUUGAGUUUGAAAUGACAUGAGGGUGAGUAAACGAUGACAGAAUGUAAAAGUUUUGGGUGAACUAACCCUUUAAUUGUCACCCACAAUUACACAGAAUUUAACUUCUACCCAGGCACAUUAUAACAGACAUUUGCGAUUAUACAUGAAUAUUUCAUUUUUUUACUUUUAAGUGGCUUGUGACAUUUUAAUUAACAUUAACACACACACACACACACACACACACACACAGACCAAAAAAAUUCCAUGUUUUUCAUCCAGUGGGAUGCUUGACCUUAACAAGAGCCAAAUAUAUUGAUUCAGUUUAAAAGUAUAUAUCAUUGUUGCCAGGAAAAGAUGCCAAGAAAAUUAAUUGUGAAAUUUGAAUAGUGGAUUGAUAGUCGAUUAAGAAAAAAUACUUCUCUAAUACGGAUGUUGUGAACAUGUUCAUACAUUCCUUAAACAUGAAUUUAACCAAAGCAGCAAAGAUUUCAACUGUUUUCAUAUUCUCUACACUAAUUAAUUUUCCAUUCCACAAAUAUCACAACAGUUUUGUGGCAGUGCAUUUGAGCACAUGGUUUGGUUUUCCAUAUAAGUGAGGAAGUUUUUUAGGGAGGGCGUCCUUAGGGCCGUCCCGUUUUGGCACAGCAUCGCUGCCAUGUCCCAAAAAUGGCAGUAUAAGCACAGGAGGUGAUGUUUUGGCACGUGCUGAAAAGAGGAACAGCAGCAGCACAUUUCCCUUCUAAGAUAGAUUUGAAAGUGAGUAGGUGAAACACGGAGCAACUCUCGAGUGCCAGUGGCUAACAACGGAUGAAGCGGAUGGGCGGUUAAAAAAGGAAUGUUGGAGGUGCGGGGACGCUGGGGAGAUUGGGAUGACAGACAUUCCAAUGUCCUCACGUCUGUGCAUCUGGCGAGGGAGGAGGGGACCGUAUCUGGAUGGAAGUGGCAGGGAAUGGCAGAGAAGAGAAAUUAAUUUGAGAUUCGUUUUGAUCAAUUUGCCUAAAUUGGCGCUUUUUCGGGGGGAGGAGGGGGGCCCAGACGAGCAGACACAGGCUGGAGCUCCGCCAGGGUUUCUCGGGAAAGUUGCCAUGCCGGGAGUGCGGGAGCACGGAGAGGGAGAGGAAUGGAAGAGAAAAAACCCAGGCGAGACUUGGCAGGGUUCUAUCGCAGCUCCCUUUGUCUGUUUGCUCAGCUUUUGCGCAAAGGAAAUCAAAAAUACCCCGAGUGCAGGAGCUCAGCUUCAGUGCUAAAAAACUAAAUCUAAAAAGAAACUACAUUAUAUUUUGCAGGAAGCUAGUGCAAAGGUGACGAACGUUGUAAUCAGUGAGAUGUUUUUAACAAUUCUGGAAGAAUUGUGCGUUCCCCAUUUUUUUUUGGACUGGACUUUUGAAGUUGUUUGCGCCAAGAGAUGACCAUGUGUCUUCAGAGGUCUUUGUUAACCGCAAAUGAAGAUCCAUCUGACUGGUUUAUUUUCUUACUAAUGGCUUCACUAUUGGAGAGAAUGUCUGGAACUACAAACGGCAUGUGCUAAAGAAAAGUUUGCGCAUCUGCGAUUGGACUACAAAGUUGUUGUUUUUUUUCACUUUCAUAAGUUUUAAACUCUGAAAACUAAGAGCCAGAACCAAAACACUGCGUUCCUAAGUUGGAAAUGGAUGUUUUUUGUCUUGCAGAAGGAAGUUAGGUGACUUUCCAAGUGUCUUCAUCAACAGACUUCUUUCUUUGAUGUGUGUCUCCAGAAAACUAAGACCAUAUUCCAAAAUUCUUUGCAUUUAAAUGUGUUUAUCACAGUGUUUUUAGAUCAGUGAGGGCAUAAAUAGACUGUUUUUGUUCCAGUCUUCUAACUAUUAGGGAAUAUAAUGCUCUACAAGAAGAAGAUGGAUUGUUGGUCGGCCAUUUUGGUGCUCAAAAGCUUGUGGUCAACAGCGAAUGUCUGGAGUAUAAAGAAGGCCUGGAUAUUGAUUUCCUAACAUCUGUAAGUGGCGUCUCUUUCAAGCCAAAUAAUGCAGUUACACAUUGGCAUUGCACUAGGAUUCUGGCUGCAUCUGCAGGCUUCCAGUUAAUAACUGUGAAAAGGGCAAGAAUAGAGAAGAGACAGAGAGAGAUUUUGUUGAUUCUGUGCCUGGAUGAAUUUGCCAGAUGUGUCUCAUCACAAGACAGGUGUCCAUGGCUGAUAGAACAGGUGCAUUAUGAUGUUUGGCGUCAUCAUUUGAUACUAUGGUUUCUGAAAAGGCCUCUCUGUUUUCAAUCAAUUCUCAAAAAAGCAAAGGCCCGAACUCUCGUCGGCAGAAUUUUAAACAUGUGGACGUUGAAUUUUUAAUCACCAGACAGUAUUCU